AAAUAACCUACAAAAAUCUUUUUUAUGCAAAGUGUUUUCCUUGCAAACCAUAAUUUCUCAAGUGGCGGUCAACAGAUAGAUGUCAUUGACUUUCCUAUUCUUUCUUUAGUGCAUUAUACAAUACUGUUUCUUUCAUAAAAUAUGCAUAACAAUUCCAUUAUACUUAAAUUAUAAUUAAUAUUAUGCAGGUAGGUUUAUUUUUAUGUCCUAUUCAAUAUUAUUACUAUUUUACCAAGUUUUUAUACAAAAUAACCUACCUUAUCUUUGAUACCUCUCAAUUAAAAAAAAAUCACAAAAUUAAUAAUUUUAACAUAAAAAAUUAGGUAAUAUUACACUUUUAUUUAUUACCUACGUAAUAAUAAAUAUAAGUACUUCUUAUUUUAUAAACUAAAAUAUAGUUAAGUUGGCCGUAUUCGAAGAUGUUUGAAAUAGGUAGGUACCUACAAU